UCCCUUCCCUCCCCUUCUUCCCCCGUCGCCUUUCCCUCCCCCGUCCGCUGCAUUCCUUCCCGUCCCAUCCCCGAGCAGAAACCAACCCCACCACCACCGCGCCCUCCUCCUCCGCCCGGUCGCCGGCGCCAUGACCGGCGCGGCGGCCCCCGCGGCGCCCCCCCGCGGCGGCGCCUCCGCGUCCCAGCCCCACGCCGCGGCGCCCGCGGGGAAGAGAGCGGGAUGCGAGCCGGUGCGGAAGGCGGGGCCCGUGACCAUGGAGCACGUGCUGCUAGCGCUCCAUGAGACGGAGGCCGAGCGGGAGGCGCGGAUCCGGGACAUGUUUGCCUUCUUCGACACCGCGGGCAGUGGGCAGCUCGACUACGCGCAGAUCGAGGCUGGCCUCGCCGCUCUGCAGGUGCCCGCCGAGUGCAAGUACGCGAGGGAGCUGCUCCGCGCCUGCGACCGCGAUCGCGACGGCCGCGUCGGCUACGAUGACUUCAGGCGCUACAUGGAUGACAAAGAGCUCGAGCUCUACCGCAUCUUCCAGGCCAUAGACGUCGAGCACAACGGAUGCAUCCUCCCCGAGGAGCUCUGGGACGCGCUCAUCAAGGCUGUUUGCUGUCUGCAGGUAUAGAGAUUAAUGAUGAAGAGCUGGCAAGAUUUGUUGAGCAUGUGGAUAAGGACAACAAUGGGAUUAUUACUUUUGAAGAAUGGAGAGAUUUUCUUCUACUGUACCCCAAUGAGGCGACCAUUGAGAACAUUUAUCAUCACUGGGAAAGAGUCUGCCUUGUUGAUAUAGGUGAACAGGCUGCUAUACCAGAAGGCAUAAGUAAACAUGUCAAUGCAAGCAAAUAUCUUAUUGCUGGAGGGAUUGCUGGUGCAGCAUCUCGUACUGCAACUGCUCCUCUGGAUCGCCUCAAAGUGAUCAUGCAAGUACAAACAACACGUACUUCAGUCAUGCAUGCAAUUAAAGAUAUCUGGACUAAAGGUGGCAUGCUGGGAUUUUUUAGAGGGAAUGGAUUGAAUGUUGUAAAAGUUGCUCCAGAAAGUGCAAUAAGAUUUUAUGCCUAUGAAAUGUUAAAAGAAUAUAUUAUGAAGAGAAAAGGAGAAAAUAAGAGUGAAGUUGGUGCUUCUGAACGUCUCAUUGCUGGUGGUUUAGCAGGUGCAGUGGCUCAAACAGCAAUUUAUCCUAUAGAGUUAGUAAAGACUCGUCUACAGACUUAUUCAGGUGAGGUUGGUUAUGUUCCUAGAAUUGGUCAGCUCUCAAGGGAUAUUUUGGUGCAUGAAGGUCCCCGAGCUUUUUAUAGAGGUCUUGUUCCAUCUUUGCUUGGUAUCGUACCUUAUGCUGGAAUUGAUCUUGCUGUAUAUGAGACUUUGAAAGAUGUGUCGAAGACAUAUAUACUGAAGGACAGUGAUCCUGGUCCUCUAGUACAGCUUGGUUGUGGGACGGUCUCUGGAGCCCUAGGGGCAACAUGUGUUUACCCUUUACAGGUUAUCAGAACAAGACUGCAAGCUCAACAAGCCAAUUCAGAAUCUGCCUAUAGAGGAAUGUCUGAUGUCUUUUGGAGAACCCUACAUCAUGAGGGUGUUUCUGGAUUCUACAAGGGAAUUCUACCAAAUCUCCUUAAAGUGGUGCCUGCUGCAAGUAUUACCUAUCUAGUUUACGAGGCGAUGAAGAAAAAUUUGUCUCUUGAUUAAAUUGUGGAGUUGUUGGUGGGAAAAACAGCCAUCAUUAUUGGCAUGGCUGACUGUAGAGAUAAUGACGACACAUGAAUUUUACUGGUUGAAUAGUUCCUUUUUGAAGAUAAAGAUGGUGCCUUCAAUAUAGAACUAGAAGCAACGGUGGCAUUUUCCUCCUAAUUUUGAUUCAGCAGAAAUGAAGUGAUAAUUAUGAGAUCAUCGAGACAUCCAUGCCUGGCAUACUGCUUACGACACCAUCGACACCGAGUUAACUGUUCAUGAAUUUCCGAAGGCUUGUUUUAUCCCCCGUCUGGGGCGAGUUUUGUUAGUCUGUAACACACUGGGAAACUCUCCUAACUUAAUUGCAAUCCCUUGUGCUCCUCAACUUGACUGGAGCUGUGACAUUUGCUGACAGCCAAAAAAAAAACCCGGCAAAAAGGGUGCUGGUGAUACCUGUACGUAUUUUCCACGGCGACUUGGCAUAAAUCAAUGCCUAGUGAAUGUAAUAAUCCGCCCGUUCCCGUUAGUCUUACUUAUGGUUUCCAAUGACCCUGUUGCAUAUAUUUGCAUUGCCAAAGCAAGGUGUGUGUGCAUAAAAAGUGCCAAAGCAGAUGGCAAACAACUCACAAGGUGCAUAAGGGGUUUGUAGACAACCGCAAGGUGCAAAAGCUGCUUAGUGCUUCAUGAGGAACAUGAGCAUGCCCCCCACGUUGUACGGGUAGGUUCGUGAAAUAGGAGUGGUAACGGAUCAUGAUUUAAAUGAUUUUUUUACAA